UACGGAGGGUGCGAGCGUUAAUCGGAAUUACUGGGCGUAAAGAGUGCGUAGGUGGUUAAUUAAGUUAUCUGUGAAAUCCCUGGGCUUAACCUGGGCAGGUCAGAUGAUACUGAUUGACUCGAGUAUGGGAGAGGGUAGUGGAAUUUCCGGUGUAGCGGUGAAAUGCGUAGAGAUCGGAAAGGAACACCAGUGGCAAGGACGGC
rnacentral:rRNA from 1 species